AGGGAUAUAGUUAAAUUUAUAUAACAUAGGCUUGUCAGGCCUUUAUUACCUUAGGGUUGUCUCUA
rnacentral:tRNA from 1 species